UUAUGUUCUCAUUAAUGUUGUUGAUUGUAGGUAGAUUAGUGCAUUUAAAUUUUCAAUAACAAACACUUUCUCCUGUAUAAAAUUGUACAUACUCCCAUAUAGGAGGGUCAGGCCAGCGGAAAUUAAGUGUUCUGGCACCUGAGGCAGAAGGUUAUACAGGAGCCUACCUUUCCAAAGCUUUGGGUGGAAAGGCCUGCCUGUACAUCAUGCCCAUCCAGGAUACUUUGGACACCUCCCCCUUGCCAUACUCAUCCAAGGAGUUUGAAAAGAUGCCAAAAGCCCGAUGUGCCACUUGUCAUCUGAGCAUGCCAGUUCAGUUGCUGGCUUUACAUGCCCAGGAGUGUGAGCUGGGUAGCUGUUCAGACAGCAGAUAUUUUGAACCGAAUGAGGAACCAGAUGUGAUGACAGAUUUUGAGGAGUCGCCAGCUUUGAGCAAUCCUGGGAAAACAUCUCCAGGUGUGCUACCAUGUCCAACCGUCUCUCAGAAGAUGGACGUAAAGUCUGGCCAAAGCCAUCCAUACGCUUGAGGGACGAGUUGACACUAGAGCAGUUUUCAACAUUUCUGUCACGAGAGAGGACAUGUUUACCAGGGGCAUGGGGCAGUGGAGGCGUCAAAAGAAGUCUUCUCCAAAAAAUCCACUUAGAGUGUCCUUCAUUGGCGAAUCAGGAAUUGACAAUGGGGCUCUCCGGAAAGAAUUCUUAACAGAAAUGAUGGCAGGUGUUGAAGCCAACUUAUUUCAGGGAGGGAGUACAGGGAAAACCCCCAAUCACUCAAUCACUGACCAUAAGGAGAAUUUCAAGACGGCUGGACAGAUUAUUGCAGUGAGCAUUACACAAGGUGGUCCUCCACCUAACUUUUUCCGGGAGUGGUGCUUUGGCUACAUCUCCACUGGGGAGAUUGACAAAGAGAUGAUUUCCAAAGAUGAUGUGACUGAUCCAGAGCUCAGACAACUUAUGGAAGAGGUUGAGAUGGCUGAACCUGAAGCUCUGAUUAACCUCCUUGACAGAAUAUUAGAAUGCGGGUACAGUGGUCCUAUAACACAGGAGAGGAAGGAAGAAAUCAUAAAAGGGCCAUUAUCUUGCACUCAUCUGUCAUAUCCUACCGAUGCUGCAGCAGAUUUGUUCAGGCAUGAAGCUAUAUGACUUGUGUGAGAUGAUUGGACAGCAACCGCACACAUUUCGGCCGUUGUUUGUUCCUGGGCUUUUGGAAAAGCGGGACGCUGAAUUUCUGAUGGGAUCCAUGUCUCCAACCUUCAGUGAGCUGGGCUCACUGAAACGCCAGAGGGAAUCAAAGCGAAACUCCUGGUAGACUGCUGCAAAUUAGUGCCCCAAAUCAUCACUGACUGUGGAAUCUGUACACUGAACUUCAAGCAUCUUGGAUUCUGUGCCUCUCCACUCGUCCUCCAGACUCUGGGACCUUGAUUUCCAAAUGAAAUGCAAAAUGUACUUUCAUCUGAAAAGAGGACUUUGGACCACUUAGCAACGGUCCGGUUCUUUUUCUCCUUAGCCCAGGUAAGGUGCUUGAUGUUGUCUUUGGUUCAGGAGUGGCUUGACAAUAGGAAUGCAACACUUGUAGCUCAUUUCCUGGACCCCUCUGUGCCUGGUGGCUCUUGAUGCACUGACUCCAGACUCAGUCCACUCCUUGUAAAGCUCCCCAAGUUCUUGAAUCUGCUUUUUUUGACAAUCCUCUUAAGGCUGCAGUCGUCUCUGUUGCUUGUGCACCUUUUCCUUCCACACUUUAACCUUCCAGUCAACUUACUAUGAAUAUGCUUUGAUACAGCACUCUGAACAGCCAGCCCUUUCAGCAAUGACCUUAUGUGGAUUCUGUGUCAAUGACUGUCUUCUGGACAACUGUCAAGUCAGAAGUCUUCCCCAUGAUUGUGGUUUUGUGUACUGAACCAGAGAUUAAAGGCUCUUCCCUGGUUGAUAUUUCUGUAUUAUACAUUCUUUAUUCUAAUAUUCUGAGAUAUAGAGUUUUGAUUUCCAUGAGCUGUAAUCAUUAGCAGAACUAUUCAGAUAAUUUACUUAAGUAAAAGUAAUAUCACACUGUACAAUUAAAAAACAUGAAUGCAAGUAUUGAGUAUGAAGUAGAAACAGAUGUGUAAAAACUCAUUGUACAGUAAAAUGUUCCCUGUCAGUCACUAGUCAAGUUUCCAUCCACUUGUCAAUCAAAUUAUCUGAAGUUCGGU